rnacentral:rRNA from 1 species
AAAGCCUCUAGCGAGCACACACACGGCCCGUACCCCAAACCGACACAGGUGGUCAGGUAGAGCAUACCAAGGCGUACGAGAUAACUAUGGUUAAGGAACUCGGCAAAAUGCCCCCGUAACUUCGGGAGAAGGGGGACCGGAAUAUCGUGAACACCCUUGCGGUGGGAGCGGGAUCCGGUCGCAGAAACCAGUGAGGAGCGACUGUUUACUAAAAACACAGGUCCGUGCGAAGUCGCAAGACGAUGUAUACGGACUGACGCCUGCCCGGUGCUGGAAGGUUAAGAGGACCCGUUAACCCGCAAGGGUGAAGCGGAGAAUUUAAGCCCCAGUAAACGGCGGUGGUAACUAUAACCAUCCUAAGGUAGCGAAAUUCCUUGUCGGGUAAGUUCCGACCUGCACGAAUGGCGUAACGACUUCUCAACUGUCUCAACCAUAGACUCGGCGAAAUUGCACUACGAGUAAAGAUGCUCGUUACGCGCGGCAGGACGAAAAGACCCCGGGACCUUCACUACAACUUGGUAUUGAUGUUCGGUACGGUUUGUGUAGGAUAGGUGGGAGACUGUGAAACCUCGACGCCAGUUGGGGCGGAGUCGUUGUUGAAAUACCACUCUGAUCGUAUUGGGCAUCUAACCUCGAACCCUGAAUCGGGUUUAGGGACAGUGCCUGGCGGGUAGUUUAACUGGGGCGGUUGCCUCCUAAAAUGUAACGGAGGCGCCCAAAGGUUCCCUCAACCUGGACGGCAAUCAGGUGGCGAGUGUAAAUGCACAAGGGAGCUUGACUGCGAGACUUACAAGUCAAGCAGGGACGAAAGUCGGGAUUAGUGAUCCGGCACCCCCGAGUGGAAGGGGUGUCGCUCAACGGAUAAAAGGUACCCCGGGGAUAACAGGCUGAUCUUCCCCAAGAGUCCAUAUCGACGGGAUGGUUUGGCACCUCGAUGUCGGCUCGUCGCAUCCUGGGGCUGGAGCAGGUCCCAAGGGUUGGGCUGUUCGCCCAUUAAAGCGGCACGCGAGCUGGGUUUAGAACGUCGUGAGACAGUUCGGUCUCUAUCCGCCGCGCGCGUCAGAAACUUGAGGAAACCUGUCCCUAGUACGAGAGGACCGGGACGGACGAACCUCUGGUGCACCAGUUGUCCCGCCAGGGGCACCGCUGGAUAGCCACGUUCGGUCAGGAUAACCGCUGAAAGCAUCUAAGCGGGAAACCUUCUCCAAGAUCAGGUUUCUCACCCACUUGGUGGGAUAAGGCCCCCCGCAGAACACGGGUUCAAUAGGUCAGACCUGGAAGCUCAGUAAUGGGUGUAGGGAACUGGUGCUAACCGGCCGAAAACUUACAACA